GGAAUCCAUAAGCUCCAGCCCACAAAGCUAGGACCAUAUAUGCUUGAUCAGUGAUGAGGUUCCCAGCAAGGACAACAGGAACUAUAUGCAUGUGAAGCAGAACCAGUAUGGGUCCCCCAAAUAGGAACCAAUUCUUCAACUCUUUCCAACGCUGCGUUCUUGGUUUCGGCAUCUUCAAGCAAAGCUCCCACAUCAAACACAUUGUCCAAGAGUUUGAGAUCUUAACAUCUGAAUAUGACUAUUGACAGCACAUAAGCAAGACCAAGACACAGACAAGAGUACCAAGCAGAAUGUGAAGACUCACUGAUGUGCCAUGUAAAUCUGUGACAAACAUCUACGUAUAUACUGUGGCCCACACUGUGCUAUUCAGGAACAGGCUCACCCUGGGGUCGGUGUGGAGCCAUGCCUCACCACUGCAGUGGAGAGUUCUGGGGGAGAGGUGCUGUGGUCAGGGAGACAAAAAAUACCUCCUGGAACUCCCCAGCAUACAGGCAGGUGCAGUCAGUUCUGCCAACUGGCACAAAAGGAGAGGAGGAGCUCUGCCUCCUUCCCACCCACUCUGGGCGGGCUAGUGCCCCGCGAGGCAGUAGGACAGUAAUCAUUGCACUCAGGUAAAUACAUGGAAUUCAACUGUGCCUGACCCCUGAAUAAGAUGAGGGAAAGGCUCCAUGUGCCUUCUGCCUGGUGUACCUGUGCAGAGGCUCUGUAUCUGUUCUCUAUUGUUCUGCCUGUGUUUGAGAUGAGCCCACAUGAUUUGAAAUGUUAACCUUUGAGCUGAAUAGGCAUAGGUCAGGAAGAGAUUGUGAUGAAAUAUCUUUUUAGAUGAACUACAGUUUUUGUGCUGGCAGAAGAUCAUCAUCAGUAUAGAAAGGAGUGCUCAGUGUCAAUGUGUACAUAUUCCUAACAGAGAACAAAAAGUAGCUCUGUCUCUGUUAGCACUGAGCAGAGCCAAAAACCAGCAGGAACAGACGAACUCCUAAGCAACAAAAAUACUGUUUUCCAUGUAAAUGUUCCUAAUAAUAAAACGCUGUGGGGAGAGAGAAAUACAUGGGGAUAGGGGAGAAAUGUGAUAUAAAAGCAGCAUUCUCUUUAAAUAGAACAUUUCCAAAUCUCUAAAGUCAGUGGCUGGGGAACUUCUAGUCACCAUUCAGUAGGAAAAUGUGUUAUUUUUUAAUCUUAGGACCACAGCAUUCAAUCAUUUGUAGAUAUACUAUCCUAUGCUGUGUUUGCUCAACAAAUUCUCCCCACCUCACCUGGUAACCAAUGCCCUGAUUCAGCAGGGUGCCUAACUCACAUGCUUAAAAGUCGGAUAUGUGCUUAAGUACCUUGCUCAAUUGGGCCCCAAAGAACAGAACCAGACCAAUUCAUUGAUGUUAUGAGGGAUGAAUUUGGUCCAUUAUGGCCAGCUGUGAGGCUCAACUUUGGAACAAACUUAGGUUUGGGGAAAUGAAUAUUACAAGAUGAGGGUCAAAUUUUCAUCCAUGCUCCAUGAGCAGGUUUACAUCAAUGGUUCCAGUUUAGCAGAGACAAUUGCUACAGUUUUAGUAAAAUAUGUAUAAUCUCCUUACUCUGUCCCCUCCAAAGCUCUCCUGGUUCAAUGGACUUCAGCGGAGUUAAAAGGCUUGUCCCUAUUUUUUUCCCCAAUAUCCCUUUUAUAGAUUUCCAUUUCAGAUAUGUCUCCCACUGCACAUAACAGGAGUUCUGUACCUGGAAGCAGGGGAGAAGAUACCUCUUACCUAGCAAGUAAGGGGUAUCACUGAACCCUCAGAGCCACUAACAUUAUUAGUUCCUAGAGAAGAUAAAUGACUAGGGGAGUUAGGCAGACUUACUGACUCUUUCAGUGUAAGGGCGAUGCUGUUGUGGAUAAAGAAAUAUAAAGAGACGAGGGGAAUGAAAUAAUCAAGGUAGCUUGAACAAUGUAAGGAUAGUUCUGCAGACAACAGACAUCAUGCUUCCAAGUGCGUGUCUGAGGUUACUUCUUUUUGCUUCAAUUUGUCAUUUUUACCAAGUGAUCAUUUACUCAUUGCUUUGCCCUACUCAUGGUUUUCAUGCCUGCUGCCCAGAGGAUGGUGUUUCUGGAGCCAAGAAGGUAGUCAUGAAGGUAGAGCAUGGGGGCAGGGACUGAGCAAAGCUCUCAGAAGCUGUCAUUGGCUUUACUUUGCUGCUUUGAGGCUACUAGCAGAAAACAGUUUAGCUGCCAAAAUGUCUUAAAUGAGCCCAGCCCUCUCAGCAGAGAGGUCAUUAUAUUAGAUUCAGGUUCCGGCUCCCUUGGAACAAAGAUCACUAUGCUGGAUGUGUGUGCUCUUUACGGUUUCAUUCACCUUACUUGGAACAGCAACUGAUUGCACAUUUUGAUCAAAAAAAAUACAGAGCAAGGACCAAAUUCACUCGAGGAUAUGUGCUCAGCUUGGAGCAGGGCCCCCAGUAUCAGAACGUCUACCUGGGAGGCUGCAGCAACACAAAAUGCUUUCAACAUCCCCCAAGACACCGGCGAGCAGCCCUCACAACUCCGGAAGUGAGCUGUGCUGGCCAAUUAAGGCAGUGGGGGAUGGACUGAGGCAAUGAAUCCACGCUACUGCUUUUGCAGUUAGGGCUUCUCUGGAGCCUAUAACAUUGUCAAGCUGACCUCCUACAAUGGAGUCCAGAAAGGAGGUUAGAGGUGUACCACCUGGGAUGGAGUGGCCCUUGCUGGCAAGGAGAGGCACAAUCUGCAAUCCUCUGCACUAGCAGAGAGCCCAAUUGUCAUUCAAGCCAUGCAGAGGCUGGCACUGUACAAAUAUGUUAAUCCAUUUGGGAUAUAAUGACCAAUUCUGGUCAGAGUAAAACCAGGCCAUACUCACAUCCAAAUAUUCGUCCAGGCCUAAUUUCGUAAAUUCAUACUGGAGAUGAACUCUGAAAUUCAUGUCCUCUACUGAAUGGACUACAAUGUUGAUGAACUGCAUACAUGCCACCUGUAGGGAACAAUCAUCACAGACUGAAAAUUUAACAAGAAAUAGCGGUGCAUCCUUUGUUUUGUACAGAAUGCGAGGAUUUGCCACACUGCAUAAGAGUAUUUAAAGACGAUUCUCCUCCCUCCUACCCAGGGAUAAUAGCUCAUGCUUCAGAUAGAGAAGGAAAAAAUCUGCUACAAACCUGGCCAAUUGAACAGCAGAUGGUGUGUGCAAAGGCAGCAUGCCUUUGUGACAUCACAAA